rnacentral:rRNA from 1 species
UAGGCGGCCGAUUAAGUCUGGAGUGAAAGUCCUGCUUUCAAGGUGGGAAUUGCUUUGGAGACUGGUUGGCUUGAGUGCGGAAGAGGUAAGUGGAAUUCCCAGUGUAGCGGUGAAAUGCGUAGAGAUUGGGAGGAACACCAGUGGCGAAGGCGACUUACUGGGCCGUAACUGACGCUGANGCGCGAAAGCGUGGGGAGCGAACAGGAUUAGAUACCCUGGUAGUCCACGCUGUAAACGAUGAAUGCUAGGUGUUGCGGGUAUCGACCCCUGCAGUGCCGGAGUAACGCNAUAAGCAUUCCGCCUGGGGAGUACGGCCCAAGGUUGAACUCAAAGGAAUNGACGGGGGCCNCNCAANCANC